GUUGAAAGGGCAAGAAAUUAGAAGGCAAGCCUCAAAUUCCAACUUUGGAAAACACACUGGAAGGAGAUGCUCUGUUCUGGUGUCUCGGAUUUGGCCCUGCGUUGCCCACUCCUGCUGGAUCUUGUCCAGUCGAGGGACAAAACGUCCUGACAGCUUCCUGAAGAAUGGGAAGAAAGGAGACUCUGAAAGCACAGAUUGAACUGCGUUGCCAGAGGCUGAGGAAGCCGACGCCGGCGGCGAGGGCUCCCCCAUCAACAGGAGCCCCGAGGAGAGCCGGCGAUGGAGGCAUGCGGGUCCAGGAAGGGUAGAAAUGCCAGCCGUGGGCUAGAGCCCCCCACAGCAGCUCCGCCCAGGACCGCCGAAUGGAGGACACACGGCGGAUCUCUCUUCCUUCCCGACCGCACAAGCUGGAGCGAAGGCCACAGAAGCUGAAGAAGCAGCGCGGGGCCAGGAGCUUUCAGAACAACCCCGAGAAGAGUGUCUAGUGAACCACAGCCAGUUCUGCCAACGCAUGUUGUGGGAAGAGCCCACCCGCCACUGGAUCCCAUCCUACCCGGGUGCUGUUCCUCAUGGACUUUGAAGAUCUCUCUACUUUUUUAAGCAGGUUGUUGCUGUUUCAGCUCUGGCAGCUCUGGUUAACCUUCUCCCUGAGGGAAUGUUAACUUUCUUUCCAUCCGAAUCGUGGAUGAAACUGUCUUCCCUGAAACUGGGUCCUUUCAGGCUAGAGGCACCUCUGAACAUUGCUGUUUCUCAGAAGGUGCCCAGUCCGUGGCGCUCUUGUUUCCUAAGUGAACGGGGGUUCACUUCUGACAGAUGUGUCUCCUGGCCGGCUCCGUGGUGCCUUUCUCCCCUCCCCUGCCCUGUCCCAGGUGAGACUCGCACCGUGGGGACCCCGCCCCUCCUGGUGAGGACCACGUAUAUGGUGGAUGUGCUGUGGCUGGAUGUGUGAGAGGAAGUCUGGUCGGGUGGAACCAAUGUGUUCGUAAGUUGGGGAGUGACAGGGACAUGGCUUCAGCCCUGGGAGAAGGGAGCUUGCGAGGAGGCUCACCCUCACCUCAACCACCCCCCUGUUUCCACCCUCACACCCUUACUCUCACCUCCUUGAGGACAGUUGUUCUUUUCUUUCUUAUGUUAAAAGUAACUUUGGUUGUUUUUUCCAUUAUUGAAAAGCAGCACAUCCUUGUUAUAAAAACAUCAGAAAUAUAGGCAAAAAGAAAAAGAGGAAAAAAACCAGCCCCAAAUCCUACUUACCCAAAAGACAAGCAUUGAGAUUGUUGAAGAGCCUUCCAGAUCCCUUUCAUAUAUAUAUAUAUAUGAUGCUAUAUACACACAGCUGCACACAUAUGUGUGUGUAUAUAUAUGUAGACACCUAGAAAUAUAUGCAUACACAUAUGUAUAACUGCACAUAUAAAUGUAAUAUGCAUGUAACUGCAGUGUCUCAAUGCAACAUAUAUUCUUUGGUAACACUCAUUGUCAUUUAAUGCCUUAUCAUGAACAUUAGUUUUUGUAUCAGUAGGCUGGGUUUUUUUUAAUGAUUAAGUAAUGCCUUUAAUUACAGAAGAGACAAU